rnacentral:rRNA from 1 species
UCUGGUGAUGAUAGCGAAGAGGUCACACCCGUUCCCAUACCGAACACGGAAGUUAAGCUCUUCAGCGCCGAUGGUAGUCGGGGGUUUCCCCCUGUGAGAGUAGGACGCCGCCAAGC